rnacentral:rRNA from 1 species
GCAAAACGCGAAGAACCUUACCAGGGCUUAAAUGUAGAUUGACGUAUUUGGAAACAGAUAUUUCUUCGGACAAUUUACAAGGUGCUGCAUGGUUGUCGUCAGCUCGUGCCGUGAGGUGUCAGGUUAAGUCCUAUAACGAGCGCAACCCCUGUUGUUAGUUGCCAGCGAGUAAUGUCGGGAACUCUAGCAAGACUGCCAGCGUAAACUGCGAGGAAGGUGGGGAUGACGUCAAAUCAUCACGGCCCUUACGUCCUGGGCCACACACGUGCUACAAUGGCCGGUACAGAGAGCAGCCACUUAGCGAUAAGGAGCGAAUCUAUAAAGCCGGUCACAGUUCGGAUCGGAGUCUGCAACUCGACUCGUGAAGCUGGAAUCGCUAGUAAUCGGAUAUCAGCCAUGACUUCCGGGUGAAAUUACCGGUUCCCGGGUCUUGU